CCUACGGGAGGCAGCAGUGAGGAAUAUUGGUCAAUGGCCGAGAGGCUGAACCAGCCAAGUCGCGUGAGGGAAGACUGUCCUAUGGAUUGUAAACCUCUUUUGUCAGGGAGCAAAGUCACCCACGUGUGGGUGCUGGAGAGUACCUGAAGAAAAAGCAUCGGCUAACUCCGUGCCAGCAGCCGCGGUAAUACGGAGGAUGCGAGCGUUAUCCGGAUUUAUUGGGUUUAAAGGGUGCGUAGGCGGGUUAUCAAGUCAGCGGUAAAAUCGUGGAGCUCAACUCCAUCCAGCCGUUGAAACUGAUGUUCUUGAGUGGGCGAGAAGUAUGCGGAAUGCGUGGUGUAGCGGGGAAAUGCAUAGAUAUCACGCAGAACUCCGAUUGCGAAGGCAGCAUACCGGCGCCCGACUGACGCUGAAGCACGAAAGCGUGGGUAUCGAACAGGAUUAGAUACCCUAGUAGUC
rnacentral:rRNA from 1 species